rnacentral:tRNA from 1 species
GUCCAAGUAAUUUAAUAAAAAUAUUGGCCUUGUAAGCCAACAAUAAAGGAAAAAUCCUUCCUAGGACC